rnacentral:tRNA from 1 species
UCCCUGGAGGACUAGUGGUUAGGCCACAGCGCUCUCACUGCUGCGGCCCGCGUUUGAUUCCUGGCCAGGGAA